CUUACUACAAAUUAAGUGUUAUUUACAUUAAUUUUCAUUAACAUCCUUGUGUUGCCACAUCCAUGAUUAACUGCGAUGUGUAUGAACGCAUUUUCAAGCGCUUCGAUGAAGAUGGUGAUGGGAAACUCUCUCCUUCGGAGCUCCGAUGCUGCUUGGGGACGAUAGGGGAGGAGCAGCCGAUGGAGGAGGCGCAGGAGGUGGUGGAGUCGAUGGACUCGGACGGAGAUGGGUUGCUGGGAUUGGAGGAAUUUGUGGGGUGGAUGGAGAGAGAGGGUGAAGAGAGAAAGAUGGAGGAUUUGAGAGAGGCCUUUAGGAUGUAUGAGAUGGAAGGGAGUGGGUGUAUUACUGCAAAGAGCUUGAAAAGGAUGCUGAGUAGAUUGGGGGAGUCAAGAAGUGUGGAAGAGUGCAGUGUUAUGAUCGGACAAUUUGAUGUAAAUGGGGAUGGGGUUCUGAGCUUUGAUGAGUUCAAGCGCAUGAUGCUUUAAUCUUGUUUAACAUCUUUUAUCUGAAUGUUGUAUUUUUUUUUUUAGAUUUAAGAAGAGUGGUUUGUAUUCAAAAAUUAAGAUUCUCCUCAUUGCUUUCCUCGUGCACAUGGUGAAGAAAAUACUCCCUAUUCUAUAUUUGAUUUUGCAUAAAAAUUCCUUUUACGGCAAAGAGCAAGUGUGAUAAAAUUUAAGUUGAUUUUUAAAUUAAAUUGUUAGUUCAAAUCAUUUUCUCUCUGUGUUUGUAAAAUACUCAUAUUAAAAAUAUUAUAAAAAUACAUAAUAUUAUUACAUAAAAUAAUAAUGAAAUAUAUAUCAUGGAAAAAAUGAAGUAUUAAAUUAUUUUAUAUUUUUAAAAAGUUAUUUAGUCUAAGUUAUUGUUUUGCAUUAUUUUAACUUUAAAUUAUAUAGAAUUAAUUUACCAAUAAGCCUAGACCCCAUUUGAAAUAGAGUUUAACUUUUGCCCUAAUAAUAAAUAAGUAGAAGUAUAAGUAUUAUUAGUGUAAUUGAAUUUUAUAUUUUGGAAUGAUAUCUAUCCCCGCAAAUUUAGGCAGUCUUGUAAAAUAAGUAAAACUAUUGAAAAAAUAUGAGAAUAAAAAUUUUGCAUUAAAAUAAUUAUCGGGGUGCACAAUCCAUAGGACGAUAAUGAAUUGGAGUUCAAGAUCAAUUAAGGACCUUUUUUUUUUUUUUUUAAGUGGGAAGUUGUUUUUCACAAUUUUAUCAUUGAAGGAAGUUAUCUGUAUUUGUAAGUGAAGUUAGAGAAUUAAAUUUGGAAUACCGAAGAUUUGAUUAUUUAAUUCAAGAAGUUUGGUUUCUUAAAGUUAACAACUUGUCUAAUUUAUUUAGGAAAUUAGUCAAUAAGAGAAUAUUUAUUUUCAAUUUUCUUUUGAUUUUGUCUUUUUUUAUUGAGGAAAUUUGUUAAUAAAAAAUAUAUAUUUUUAAUUCUCUCCUAAACUUUAAUGAUUUGAUUUAAUUUUAUUUUGUAAUACUUCUAAAUUUCAUGAGGUGUCACAUUUGAAUAGUCAUAGAAGUGCCUUCACAAAUGUAAAUAUAAUUACAUUUGAUCUCAUUGUAACCAUAUCGAGAAGUCGAUACACGACUCAUAUUGUAAACUCUCCCUAGAAGUUGACUACACACUUAUUUGGUAAAUUACAAUAGUAAAAGAAAAAGAACACAAAAUAUGCACCUAGCCCAAAGUUGGAUGAGAUUUACUUUUGUGAAUAUUAACAUUAACACUAUGUUUGGUUCAUAGAACAUUUGAGAGAAAGAAAAUAGGUAAGAAUCGAAAUAAAAAAAAAAGAAAAAGUUAAGAAAAAUAAAAAAUAAAGUUGAAGUCGAUAAAUUAUUUUUAUUUACUACUAUAAACUCAUUUUAUUUAUUUUAACUCAUCAGUAUAAGGAUUAAAUAAUUUAAAUUUUAAAAAUGUAUAAAUUUUUAAUUAAUUUUAAUUAUAUUUAAUUUUCUUGAAAAUUGUUUCUAGAACAAUCAAAUAUAAGAAAAUCAUUUUUUUAAAUAUUUUUUUUAAUACUUUUCGUGCACCAAAUAUAACUUAAAAGUAUUUUUAUUUUUUAUAUAAAAUAUCACUAUCCUAUUAUUAAACAAAUCAAGGGUCUGUUUAAAAAUAAAUUAUUUUCCAUGGGUAUAAAUAUCUCAAAAAGAUAAUAAAAAAGCCACAUUUAAUUUACUAAUAUAAAAAAGUCCACACCUGAUAAAUCUUUUCCACCUCAUGUCUAGGCAGAUAGAAGGGAGAAAGAGACCAAAAAGACAAACUAGCUUUCUGUGGCGGUUGAGUGUUUUGACCGUUGUAGAUGUAAUUCUAUCUCAAUUUAAUCCAGGCAGCUUCUCACUUUCUUCCCCCAAAAAAUCCAUCAAUUACGCACUCCCUGACACCGUGAUCCAUGCUUUCUUCUUCUCAUCUUCAACUUCAAAACUUCCAAGUUUCCAAUCCUUUUAUGCGUCUCAUAAAGCUAUAUAUAGACUCACAAAUUGUUAUUCACAACACUCCAAGCAUCCAAGUUCUUGCGGUAAGCAGCCAUGAUUAACUGCAGCAUAUAUGAACGCAUAUUCAAGCGCUUUGAUGAAGAUGGUGAUGGGAAACUCUCUCCUUCGGAGCUUCGAAGUUGCGUGGGGACGAUAGGGGAGGAGCUGCUGAUGGAGGAGGCGCAGGAGGUGGUGGAGUCGAUGGACUCAGACGGGGAUGGGUUGGUGGGUUUGGAGGAAUUUGUGGGGUGCAUGGAGAGAGAGGGCGAAAAGAGAAAGAUGGAGGAGUUGAGAGAGGCUUUUAGGAUGUAUGAGAUGGAAGGGAGUGGGUGUAUUACUCCAAAGAGCUUGAAGAGGAUGCUGAGUAGAUUGGGGGAGUCGAGAAGCGUGGAGGAGUGCAGUGUUAUGAUCAGGCAGUUUGAUGUUAAUGGCGAUGGGGUUAUGAGCUUUUAUGAGUUCAAGCUCAUGAUGCUUUAAUAUUGUUUGAUACCUUCCACAUGAAUUUUAUAUUCUUUUUAGAUUUAUAAAGAGUGAUUUGUAUUCAAGAUUCUUUCUACAUAAGGGUCUCCAACGGGCCGGGCCGGGCCGUCCGGCUCGGAGGAGUAAGACCCAUGGCCCAGCUCGAGGCGGGCCACUGAGUCAACGGGCCAGGCCGGGCCGGGCCCUUGGUAUAUCUAAGGCCCGUGGCCCAGCCUGUGGGCCCUCAAGCUGGGCGGGCCGACUGGGGAAAAAAUUAAAAUAGUUUUUAGUUUUGAAGGGAAGAGGUUCGAAAUCCCCUUCCCUUAUGGAUCCAUAAGGGAGCUAGCCACCAACUGAGCUAGUCCUCUUUUGUGUAACUAUUUUGCAUUAGUUAUAUAUAUAUAUAUUAGAAAUGUUGUAUGAUUUUUGAAAAAAUAUAAAAGUGAGUUGGCUGUUCAACGGUCACAUGACUCACAUGACCGUUGAACAUGUCUGCCACUCAAUUCAAUAUUAUGACCGUUGAACGAUCUUGAUUAAAAAAAAAAGAAAUAAUAAAUCCUAAUAUUUAAAUCUCUAUAAAUAUUAAAUACCCUCAAUUUUUUUCUAUUCUCUCAACUCUUAAGCUCUCUCCCAUUCCACAAUAUUUCCGAUUAUUGCAUUUUAUCUCAAAUUAUUCAAUAUUAUUGAUGGUGAAAAACAAGCAUUGGUGGUUCAAAAAGUUCAAAUUUGAAGGAAUUUCUGCUUCGGUUCUCUAAUUUAGUAACAUACUUCACCUUUACUUUUAUUUAUUUGUUACAUUUUAAUUUUACAUUUAUUAUUUUUAGCAUAAUAUUUUAUCAAUAAUUAUAAUUAUGGCAAGUGGUUCUUGUUCUUCAUCUAAUACAUGUGAUAGCAAAAAAUUUACAUCAAAUAUAUGGAAUUUUUUUGAUAGAAUAGAAAUAAAUUUAGAAAAUAAUAAAAAAGAAAUAAAAGCAAAAUGUAAAAUUUGUAACAAACUUCUUAGUGGUGGCUCAAAUGCAGGUACAAGUCAUUUAAAAAGGCAUCAUGAAAAUUGUAAAACUAAAAAUAAUGUAGAUAUUAGAAAUUAUAUGCAAUUAGGUAAAGAUGAAAGUGGAAAUUUAAAAACAUUUUCUUAUGAUGAAUCUUAUUGUUGUGAAGAAAUGAUUGGUUAUAUAAUAAGAGCAGAACAACCUUUCAAUUUCAUGGAAACUCAUGAUUUUACGGGAACAAUGCAACGAGCUGUUAAUCCUCAGUUUUAAGGUUGCUCUGGAAAUACAGUUAAAAGAAUUCUUAUAAAAAAUUUUGAAACACAAAAAGAAAAUUAAAAAUUUUUUUUUGCAAAUUUUGAAGAAAGAAUUUGUUUAACAUCUGAUAUUUGGACAUCUUUAACUCAUAGUGGUUUUUUUAUAUAUAACUGCUCAUUAUAUUGAUAAUGAAUGAAAAUUAAAUAAAAGAAUUAUUUCAUUUAAAAUAAUAAAUGCUCCAUAUAAUGGUAAAAAUAUAGCAUCUUUAAUAAAUGAUGAAAUUAUAGAUUUUGGCAUUCGUGAUAAAAUAUUUACAAUAACAUUAGAUAAUGCUUCUAAUAAUGAUGCAGCAGUAUCUAGAUUAAAACGAUAUUGGCAAAUAAAAGAAGAUCAAUGUAAAAUAUUUCAUGUGCGUUGUUGUGCACAUAUUUUAAAUUUCAUUGUAAAAGAUGGAUUAAAACACGUUGAUGAUACAUUAUAAAAAAUUAGAGGCAUUGCUGCGGGUCUUAAUAGUUCUCAAGCAAAACAUGAAUUAUUUUUUUAUUGUUGCAAAAUGUUAAAUAUGAAAAAAAGAAAUAUAAAUUUGGAUAUGCCCACUAGAUGGAAUUCCACUUAUAAACUUUUACAAACUAUUACAAAAUAUAGAAAAGUAGUAGAACUAUAUGAAAUACAAUUAAUUAACAAUGAUUGUGAAACAAAUAUUGAUGUAUUAAAUGAUUAUUAUUGGCAUAUUGCAGAUCUUUUAAGAGAUCUUUUUGAAGUAUUUGAUACUUCAACAAAAAAUUUUUGUGGUGUAUAUUAUCCAUCUUCAAACCGAGUUGUCAUGCAAAUAACUAAUAUUUUUAUUGUACUUCAAAAAUAUUUAAAUUUGGAUAUAUUUAAUGAUGCAAUAUUUGCAAUGAUAGAAAAAUUUAGAAAAUAUUGGGGAGAAAUACCUUUAAUUUUUUAUCUUGGUUUUGUGGACCCUAGAUUGAAAUUUGAAACUUUGGAUGAAUGGUUAACAAUUAUUUAUUUUAAUGACCAAAUAAAAAUUGAAGAAAUUAAAAAUGAAAUAAAUUCAUUAUUAUAUAAUUUAUAUAACUAUUAUAAAGAAAAAUAUGGUGAUGAUAUUAGUUCUAUUAAAUUACCACCUAUAUCUACAAGUUCUUCAUCUUUUUAUAAAGGAGCUCUAGAAAUGUUAAAAAGUUGAAAGAAGAUAACAAAUAGUUCUCCAAACAACACAACUGAUUUAGAUAGAUAUCUUAAUAUUGAUUUAAUUUCAUUUGAAGAUGAUGAAGAUUUUGAUAUUUUAAUAUGGUGGAAAUCACAACAACACAAAUAUCCUGUGCUUUCUAUCAUUGCUCGUGAUGUACUAACAGUUCUUGUGAGUACAGUUGCAUCAGAAGCUGCUUUUAGUGUAGGUGGAAGAGUAGUUAGUGAUAAACGAUGCAACUUAGCGCCGGAUUCUAUUGAAGCAAAUAUAUGUGUGAAAGACUGGACAAUAGUAGAUAAAAGGAUAUUUGAUUCUAUUCAAGAAGAAAAUAUGCUUGUCGAUAUGGAAAAACUAAAAUCAUCAAGAUCUUCAUGGAUUUGCGAUAGUUCGCCAACACCGCCAAGAGAUAAUGAUUAAAAUAUUUUACUAAAUGUAUGUCAUAUUUUUAUUUUUAUUUUUGUAGUUGAAAAGUACAAAUGAUUGACAAAUAAGUAGGUGCCAACCUAGUUGGGAUGUAUUUAUUUUGUAGUGAUGUAAACUUUUCCCACAUUUUCAAAUGUAACGUAUACAUUCAAUGAAUAAAAUAGUUAGCAAUGAAUAUUUUUAUUAAUGUAGUAUUUUCUAUUUCUUGAAUAUUUAUAUAUAUAUAUAUAUUUAAGUGGCGGGCCUACGGGCGGGCCAGCCCACCGGGCCUAAAUUGGAGCCCAUGGCUCGGUCCAUCCAAAAAUGGGCUCGAGCCGGGCCGGGCCUAGGCCAGGCCGCGGGCUUUUUAGAGACCCUUAUUUCCACAUAUACAGAGGAAUAUGAUUUUUUUUUCUUUCCACUCUAUAACAUUUAUAUAUAUAUAUAUAUAUAUAUAUAUGUUCUGUACAUGAUUGUUUGGGCCAAUUAAACUCUCAAGGGUGUGUGGAACCCUGCACUAGUCUUGUUAUAUACGGUAACUCAACUGACUUUAAAUGGAAGUUGGUGCUUUAACACAUAGCGUUAAUAUGUUUAGUAACUUAAAUUAAUUUAUUAAACAAUUCUAUAUCUUUUUAAUAUGCCAACCAAGGGAAUUAUAGCAUUUUUCUCAUUCAUGCUAAGGAAUUAGUGAAAGUAUGGAUUGUGAAGUUAACAUAUAACAACUCGCGCUUAACUGUAUAGAUAUUAUCCUCUCUAAGUCCUAAAGGGCCCUUACAGCUUUAAAAUGUAUCUACAUGAUUUAGAGAGAUCUAUACUUAUAUAGUAUCAUAAAUUUUCUCUCAUAUUCAAUAUGGGGUAUCAUAAACACCCUCUAUGCAAAUAUAACGUUCUCGUUGUAUUCCAUGAUAUUAUGGGGUAAAACAGAUAAACAAUCCUUAUAGGGCCAAAUAUACCCCCACACCAAGAUCGAUGAUUAGUUCUAAUAUCACUUAUAACGACAUGUAUCUAACCAUGUAGAUAUUUUUCGCUCUAGAAAUUGGAUAUGAGAGAAAGUUUAUGACGUUAUAUAUGUAGAGGUUCCUCUUAAUUCUAUAAACGCAUUUUAAAAUUGUGAAGACCCCUUUGGAUUCAGAGUUGAUAAUAUCUACACAGUUGGAUGAGGUUCGUUAUCUAACAUCUUAUUUUGUUAAUUAAUUUCCAACUAAUUGUCACUAUGUUCAAUGAAUCCCUUCAUCUAUAAAGAAAAGAAAAGGGGGUUGAGUUGGGAGCCUACAAUUUCUCUUAUUGUGGAUGUUUUCUGAAUGCAUUAUUGAGUAGUCAUAGAAGUGCCUUCUUAACUGUCAAUAAAAUUACAUUUGAUCUCAUUGUAACCAUAUCGAGAAGUCGAUACAUGACUCAUAUUGUAAACUCUCUCUAGAAGUUGACUACAAACUUAUUUGGUAAAUUACAAUAGUAAAAGAAAAAGAACACAAAAUAUGCACCUAGCCAAAGUUGGAUGAGAUUUACUUUUGUGAAUAUUAACAUUAAGGCUAUGUUUGGUUCGUAGAAAAUUUGAGAGAAAGAAAAUAGAUAAGAAAAUAAAUAAGAAAAAAAAAGUGAAGAAAAAUAAAAAAAAUAGAGUUGAAAUUGAUAAAUUAUAUUUAUUUACUACUUUAAAUUCAUUUUAUUUAUUUUAACUCAUCAUUAUAAAGAUUAAAAAAUUUAAAAUUUAAAAAUAUAUAAGUUCUUAAUUAAUUUUAAUUAUAUUUAAUUUUCUUGAAAAUUCUUUCUAGAACAAUCAAAUAUAAGAAAAUUAUUUUUCUUGAUAUUUUUUUCUUUUCUUAAUACUUUUCGUGCACCAAAUAUAACUUAAAAGUAUUUUUAUUUUUUAUAUAAAAUAUCACAUAUAAUUUUAUAAAAUCUAUCCUAUUAUUAAACAAAUCAAGGGUCUGUUUAAAAAUAAAUAAAUAAAUAAUUUUCCAUGGGUGUAAAUAUCUCAAAAAGAUAAUAAAAAAGCCACAUUUAAUUUACUAAUAUAAAAAAGUCCACACCUGAUAAAUCUUUUCCACCUCAUGUCUAGGCAGAUAGAAGGGAGAAAGAGACCAAAAAGACCAACUAGCUUUCUGUGGCGGUUGAGUGUUUUGACCGUUGUAGAUGUAAUUCUAUCUCAAUUUAAUCCAGGCAGCUUCUCACUUUCUUCCCCCAAAAAAUCCAUCAAUUACGUACGCACUCCCUGACACCGUGAUCAAUGCUUUCUUCUUCUCAUCUUCAACUUCAAAACUUCCAAGUUCCAAUCCUUUUACGCGUCUCAUAAAGCUAUAUAUGGACUCACAAAUUGUUAUUCACAACACUCCAAGAAUCCAAGUUCUUGCGGUAAGCAGCCAUGAUUAACUGCAGCAUAUAUGAACGCAUAUUCAAGCGCUUUGAUGAAGAUGGUGAUGGGAAACUCUCUCCUUCGGAGCUUCGACGUUGCGUGGGGACGAUAGGGGAGGAGCUACUGAUGGAGGAGGCGCAGGAGGUGGUGGAGUCGAUGGACUCAGACGGGGAUGGGUUGGUGGGGUUGGAGGAAUUUGUGGGGUGGAUGAAGAGAGAGGGCGAAGAGAGAAAGAUGGAGGAGUUGAGAGAGGCUUUUAGGAUGUAUGAGAUGGAAGGGAGUGGGUGUAUUACUCCAAAGAGCUUGAAGAGGAUGCUGAGUAGAUUGGGGGAGUCGAGAAGCGUGGAGGAGUGCAGUGUUAUGAUCAGGCAGUUUGAUGUUAAUGGCGAUGGGGUUCUGAGCUUUGAUGAGUUCAAGCUCAUGAUGUUUUGAUAUUGUAAUGAUUAUAUAUAUGAUUUUUAUUUCCUUUUCCGGUGAAUAACAUUUAUGCCUUAAUUAAAACACUUCAUCGUCUUAUCUAUUAUUAUUAUUGAAACUAAAUAAAAACCCUAUUAGUUACUAUCAAUGACAAAAUAAAAUUUAAAAUAUUAAAAAUACAAUUAAAACUAAAAAAAAUCAAUAAUAAAUAAUGCCAAAACAAAAUAUUGGUUUUCUACCAAAAAAUUAAAAAAAAAAAUAGUUUUCUAUUAAAAGUUUGUCACUUUAUCAAUGUCUAUAAUUUCUUAUAAAAAAAAUAUUUUGAUGGAUCCUAAAUAUUUUCAUAGUGAUCCUUUUCAAUCUAACUCUAGGUCAUUAGUAUAUAUGCAUUGCUUCCAUAAUAAUACCGAAUUUAUUUUUAUUUAAUUAAAUCUUUUUUUCUUAAAUGCGAGAUCAUUAUAACAAAAUCCUUUUAAAUUUAAUUACUCUAUUUGAAUAAAUCGAUUUUACUUAUUUGAAAGAAUGAAAAAUAUGAUAUUUGAUGUUUGAAAAUUCCAUCUUUGUACCUUUAAAAUCUAAUUUUAAAAAGGAUGGAACUUUAAUAUGCUUAAUAACAUAAAUUAAUUUAUCAAAUGCUUAUAAAAUUUUCUAAUAUUUUAAGUAUGAUAAACAAUUUAUUUUUCAAUCUUAUGUAAAAAAUAUUUGCUAAUGUAUUAAAAAUAAAUGUAAUUGGGAAAAAGCUUGUAAGUUGUGUCAUUCAUCCAUGCUGAGGAGUCAGUAGCAGUGUGAAGAAGUUGAUAGGUUGUCUGAAAAACCAGUUGAGUCUUUUGACGUUAGCUUGUUGUUCUACAGAAGAACACUAUUUUUUUUAUUUUUUUUUAUUUUAUUUUUUAUGUUUUAAUUUUGUAAACAUGUUUCUCGUUUGUCGCGUCAUAUCCACCUCAUGUCCGGGUGGAUUGAAAAAGCAAAAGGCUAGAAGAAAAGUAUUCUAUUCUUAGUAAAGUCAAUACGCACUCCGUGACGUCCCCUCCAGAACUUCCUAGUAAAGUUCGAUUCUUCACUCUCAAAAUCUCCAUACCCAACAGCUCUAUCUACUCCUUUUACGCGUCCCCACAACAGCUAUAUAUAUGCACACACAAGGUGUUCAUCCUCACAUCUUCACAUCUUACUACAAAUUAAGUUUUAUUCACAUUAAUUUUCAUUAACAUCCUUGUGUUGCGACAGCCAUGAUUAACUGCAAUGUGUAUGAACGCAUUUUCAAGCGCUUCGAUGAGGAUGGUGAUGGGAAACUCUCUCCUUCGGAGCUCCGACGCUGCUUGGGGACGAUAGGGGAGGAGUUGCUGAUGGAGGAGGCGCAGGAGGUGGUGGAGUCGAUGGACUCGGACGGAGAUGGGUUGCCGGGAUAGGAGGAAUUUGUGGGGUGGAUGGAGAGAGAGGGUGAAGACAGAAAGAUGAAGGAGUUGAGAGAGGCCUUUAGAAUGUAUGAGAUGGAAGGGAGUGGGUGUAUUACUGCAAAGAGCUUGAAGAGGAUGCUGAGUAGAUUGGGGGAGUCAAGAAGUGUGGAAGAGUGCAGUGUUACGAUCGGACAGUUUGAUGUAAAUGGGGAUGGGGUUCUGAGCUUUGAUGAGUUCAAGCUCAUGUUGCUUUAAUCUUGUUUGAUACCUUCCAUGUGAAUUUUGUAUUAUUUUUAGGUUUAUAAGAGUGAUUUGUAUUCAAGAUUCUUUCUACAUACAAGAGGAAUAUGAUUUUUUUCUUCUUUCGGUUUAUAACUCUAGACAUAAAAAUUUUAGUGGAUUAAAUUAUCACUAAUUUGGUCUUAAAAAAUUGAUAAAUAAAAAUAGAUAUCCUCUUAUGGAUAACUUUUCUAAAAAAGAAACUAAUCUCCAACUAUAAAAAGGAUAAUAAUAAAUAUAUUAUUAUUAUUAUUAUUAUUAUCAUGUUAGUACAUUAUUAGAAGUUGCUAAAAUCAAGAAACUAAAUCCAUUAAUUGGGGAAUUCAAAAUUCAAAUUCUCUAUCUUCACGUAUAAAUAGAAGUGAUUUCUUUCAAGAAAAAGAGGGAGAAAUUAAAAAAUAAAAAUCUAAAAAGGAAAAUCUUAAGGAGAAAAUCCAAAGACGAUUUUAGAAUCAUCAAAUCUCCUUGACUACUACAUGUGUUCUUCACCAUUAAACGAGUUCAUUUAGGAAUAAGCCACUUGUGGCCCUCAAUUGAUCUUCGAAAUAAAAAAAAAAGGCCAUCGUUGUUUUUCAAGUUGUGGACAAAGCGAAAGAAUCGGAGAGAAAAUAUUCUUUUGUGAAGAAUAUUAUAUUUGAGAUUGUACCCACAAUAUUUUUAAUUUCAAUAAAUAUUUUGUUUGCAUUAUUUUCCUAUUUGUUUUACUAAUUUUACAAAAUUUGAGCAUACAAUAACAUUUAUAUGUAUAUAUAUAUAUAUACUUUACAUGAUUGUUUGGGGCAAACCCUGAAGGGUGUUUAGACCUACACUAAUCUUGUUAUAUACAACGAUGAUGACAAGUUUUACUAAUCAGGGGACUAGGAUUCUAAGAAAGAAGAACUCAAUUGACUGUGAAUGGAAGUUGGUGCUUUAACGCAUAUCGUUAAUAUGCUUAAUAACAACUCUAAAGGUCUGUUGUUUAGGAAAAUAGCAACUCUAAAGGCCUCAUCCCAAUAUUUUAGAGGCAUAGAAGCUUUAGCUAAUAAAAUGAGACCAUUUUAUACUAUGUGACGAUGUUUUCUCUUCCCAACCCCAUUUUGUUCAUGAGUAUGAGGGCAAGAAUUUCUAUGAAUUAUACCAUGGGACAUUAAGAGAUCAGUAAAAGCUCUAUCUUGUCCUCCCCAAUUAGUUUGAAUAGCCUUUAUUUUAUAACCAAGCUAAAACUCAACUUGUGUUUCAAAAUUUGAGAAAGUUUGAAAAGCAUCUGACUUAUGCUUUAACAAAAAAAUCCAAGUGAAACAAGAGAAUGCAUCUAUAAAGUUGAUGUAAUAUCUAUAGCCACUAGAUGACAACAUUGGAGAGGUCCCCAUAAGUCAAAGUGAACCAAUUGUAAAGGUUUUGUGUAGGUUGUAUCUGACAAUCUAAAAGGAAACGUAUGAAUUUUACCAAAGCAACAAGCUAAACAAAAAGAAUGAGAAUUUGAAUCAAGAAGAGGUAUUUUGCAAUUUGUGAGUACAACUUUUAGAACUUUCUUAGAAGGGUGGCCUAAUCUAUCAUGCCACAAAUCAUACAAUGAACAGGAAUGAGAGAGAAUAGGUACAUGAAAGGCAAUGAUAGAUGGUGCUGGAAUUGGGACCUUUGAGGAAGACAAUGAAGGUUGCAAUAGCUGGUUAAGAUGAAUUUGAACAGAUGAUGCUAGAAUUGGGACCAUUGAGAAAGACAAUAGAGGCUGCAACUGCUGGUUGAGAUGAAUUUGAGUGUGGUCAAAGACAUAAAAUCCAUUUUUAAGAUUUCCCUCCAGUAGCACAGUUUUAGAAGUCUGAUCUUUCACAAAACAGGAAUGUGAGUGAAAUUCAAAGAAAACAUCAUUAUCAUGGGCGAACUUCGAAACACUAAGUAAAUUUUUUGUUAUAGUUGGGACAUGUAAGAGUUGCUUAAGAGAAAGAAUUUUAGAAGUAUAAGGAGAGGAAAAGAUAGAUUGACCAACAUGCUUAAUGGAUAAAUCCAUACCAUUUCCAAUAUGAACUUGAUCUGAUCCAUAAUAUUCGGCCUUAGUCAUCAAAUUUGUAGCAUCAAAAGUAACAUGAUUGGAAGCUCCUGAGUUAGGAUACCAAUUGGUAUCAUUAACAACUUUUGGUGUAGCAAACAUGGCUAUCAUUUGGCCUCCUGCACCUUGUAAUUGGCUUUGAAUGAAAGAUUGUUGAUUCUAGAAUUGAGAUGGUCCUAAGAAACUCUUAUCAAAAUGAUAAUAAUAGUUCAUCCCCACAUGCCCAAUCUUUCCACAAAGUUGACGUUGAGGUUUGUUUUGAGACCAAAAACCUCUCCCACCAAAUUGACCAUUAAAGUGGCCUCCACGACCUCUUCCUCGAUUGGCAAAACCAAAACCUCCUCUAGCAUUGUUCUGAAAAUUGCAUUUUUUACCAAAAAAAAAACUGACCACUAAAGGUGUUUGGAGCACCAAAGUUGGAAUUGGAAUUUUAUGCAAAACCAUUAAUAUACCUUUUUAUGCUUUGCUGAGAGUUUUGACCAGUAACAACAAUAUUUGCUAAGCUAGGUUAUGCAGAAUCUAACUCCUUAUUCUUUUUUUCUAUCCUAGCUUCUUGAGUCAACAACAAGGAUUCUAUAUCAUCAACUAUAUAAGGGUCUAUGCGUGACUCAAUUGAAAGAAUAAAGUUGUCAUAGUCUGGUGAUAAACCCUCAAAUAUGACAUUGAAUGGCCAACUAAUCCUAGAAAAUCAAUACAACCUCUAAUCUUUAACAAAUAUUCAUUCAUAGUCAGAAACUCUUUUCUGGUGUUUCUCAAUUGUGUUUUAAAUUGAAACACUUUUGCUCGAAUUUGAACAGCAAAAUAUCUUUCCAAAUUAAGUUCGCCAUACCUGAGCAGAGUUCUCACAGUUUACCAUAUGUGUAAGAAUCCCUUCAGACAUUGAAGAAAGAAGCCAAGACAACAACAAUUGAUCUUGUUGUUCCCAAUCAAGAAAUUCUGGAUUAACAUUGUCCAUUUCUUCAUCUCUUAGCGUAAGAAACUUCAAUGGUGGGGGUUUUGUUCCAAACACAAAAUUCUGUAAUUUGUGCCCUCGAAUUGCUACAAGAACCUGCUUUCGCCAAAGCAAGAAGUUGUUGUUAUCCAAUCGAACCGAAACAAAGUGACUAAAGGAAACAAGGAUGAACCUUGAAGCAGAUGAUGAGGCUCCACCCAUGGUGGAAAUUGAAAAGCUCUCUAUUGCUGGUAUUUCAAAGCUCGGAUACCAUAUUAGGAUUUAAGAAAACAAAGGAAAACAGUGGAUUUUGGAUUGAAGAAAAACAGAGGACUUAUUAUUCACACUGUGGAAACUAGUUACAAGAGCUUCUUUAAAUAGAAGCUUAUAAUAAAAGAAUAUUUAUUUCUAAUUCUCUCUUUAUUUCAAUUAUUUGGUUUGAUUUUAUUUUGUAAUGACCCUUUUAAAUUUCAUGUCAAGUCUUUAAUGUCUAGGGCUCAUUACUUGUCAAACUCAAAUUUUUUUAAGUUAAAAAAUCAUAAUUUUGAAGACUGAUUUAAUGAUAAUUUAAUCUAUCAAAAUUUUUAAUGUAUAUAAUAUCAUAGAAUAAGAAAUGCUUUUAUUAAGGCUAUCUUUGGCUCUAGUAAAUUUGAGAAGAAAAAUAAAGAUAAAAACUAGAAAGAAAGAAAAAGUAAAAAACAAAAAUGUUUUAAAAAAUUAAAGUCUAUAAAUUAUUUUUAUAUAUUAUUUUAAAUUAUCUUAUUUAUGUUAACUUUUUUACAAAAUUAUUAAAUAAUUUUAAAAUAUAUAAAAUUUUAAUUUAUUUUAAUUCUAAUUGAUUUUCUUUUGUAUUAAAGUACACAUGAAAAAGUCAAUAUCCAGAUAAUGAUGUAACUAUUAUAUUUAUUAAAAAUUUAACUAAAUAAAAAUUAACUAAGGUGUUAUGAAAAAAUAUAUAUUUACUAAUAUAUUUAAAAUAUGUAUAUAAUUGGGAAAGUUUAUAAGUUGCAUAUGUUAUUCAUCCAUGGAAGUGUGGAAGUGUGGAAGUGGGUAGAAAGUAGUGGAAGUGCGUAGAAGUUGAUAAGUUGACUGAGUUUUGAAGGAGUUCAGAAGUUAGCUUGUCAUUCUGCUGGUUUCCAACCCAAGGCCACUAUUUUUUUAAUUUUUUUAAUUUUUUUAAUUUUGUAACAUCAAGUCUAAGGUGAUGUUUGUUUUUUUACUUAAUUCUAAAUGGAACCUUAAUACUUAAUAGUAUUAAAUAUUAGGUUGUUUGUUUUUAUAGUAUUUUAUUUCUAUUAAGUAUUAAAAGGUAAAAAAAACCAUUGUGUUAUUUUUUCUAUUUAGAAAAAGUCACAUAUUUUAGCUUUUUCUAUUUAGUAAAAAGUUUAUAAUAAGUCAUGAAAAAGUAAAAAACCAAACAACCUAAAUUCUAAAACUAAAUGAUUUUCAGCAAAAAGUCAAAAAAACAAACACCACCUAAGUCUAACAUGUCACUCGUUUGUUACGUCAUUUCCACCUCAUGUCCAGGCGGAUUGAAAAAACAAAGGCCAGAAGAAAAGUAUGUAUUCACGAGGUGGGUUUGACCGUUCUACAGUAAAAAUUCCAGCACAAUGCCUAGCAAUUUCUCCGUGAUGUCCGGCUCCUCCAGAACUUUCUAGUGAAGUCUCGAUUCUUCACUCUCAAAACCGCCAUACCUAACAGCUCCAUCUACACCUUUUACGCAUCCCCACAACUGCUAUAUAUAUGCACACACAAAGUGUUCAUCCACAUAUCUUCACAUUUGACUACAAAUUAAGUUUUAUUCACAUUAAUUUUCAUUAAAUCCUUGUGUGUUGCGACAGCCAUGAUUGACUGCAGCAUAUAUGAACGCAUAUUCAAGCGCUUUGAUGAAGAUGGAGAUGGGAAACUCUCUCCUUCGGAGCUUCGACGCUGUGUGGAGACGAUAGGGGAGGAGCUGCUGAUCGAGGAGGCGCAAGAGUUGGUGGAGUCGAUGGACUCGGACGGGGAUGGGCUGUUGGGGAUGGAGGAGUUUGUGGGGUGGAUGGAAAGAGAGGGUGAAGAGAGAAAGAUGGAGGAGUUGAGAGAGGCCUUUAGGAUGUAUGAGAUGGAAGGGAGUGGGUGUAUUACUGCAAAGAGCUUGAAGAGGAUGCUGAGUAGAUUGGGGGAGUCAAGAAGUGUGGAAGAAUGCGGUGUUAUGAUCGGACAGUUUGAUGUAAACGGGGAUGGGGUUCUGAGCUUUGAUGAGUUCAAGCUCAUGAUGCUUUAAUAUUGUUUGAUAUCUUGUAUGUGAAUGUUGUAUUCUUUUUAGAAUUAAAGAGUGGAUUGUAUUCGAGAUUCUUUCCAGAUUAUAUCAUUACUUAAAAUAACAACAAAAUAUUUACCAUAAAAACAAUUAAAUAUGACAUUAUCUUAGAUUUUGAUAAAAUUGUUUAAUUUAACUUAUUGUUUUACAUUUUUUUUUUUUCUAACCAAAUCAUACACAAAAAAACAAAUAAAUAAAAAUAUUUUAACAUGGUUCAGUUAUCAAUAUAAUCCUUAUAUUUACGAUAUGUACCAAUACUUAAAAAACUACUUAUAAAAAGAAACGAGAAAUAGUAUAAAGAUAAAACUCUAAAAAAAAACCCUUCUUAAUUGCUAUUGUACUUUCUAAAAAACAUUAUCAACGAGCUCCACCUCCAACAUUUUGAGCAAAACAUAACAAAACUAAUUAAGAUUAACUUUAAAUUAUAAUAUUAAAUUAUUUUAUAAAAAAUGUGGAUCAUCUUAAGUAAAGGAUUCCUCUUUAAUCCUCUAAUUAAAACAAUUCAUCGUCUUAUCUAUUAUUAUUACUGAAACUAAAUAAAAACCCAAUUAGUUACUAUCAAUGACAAAAUAAAUUUUAAAAUAUUAAAAAUUACAAUUAAAACUAAAAAAAUUAAUAAUAAAUAAUGCCAAAACAAAAUAUUGGUUUUCUACCUCAAAAUUAAAAAAAAAAAAAAUAGUUUUACUUUAUCAAUACCUAUAAUUUUAUAUAAAAAAAAAUAUUUUAAUGAAUCCUAAUAAAUUAUUUUUCAUAGUAAUCCUUUUCAAUCUAGCUCUACGUUAGUAUAUAUGAAUUGCAUCCGAUAGUAAUGGUGAAUUUAUUUUUAUUUAAUUGAAUUUUUUUUAUUAAAUGUGAGAUCAUUUUAACAAAAUCCUUUUAAAUUUAAUUACUCCAUUUGAAUCAAUCGAUUUUACUUAUCUAAAAAAAUGAAAAAUAUGAUAUUUGAUGUUUGAAAAUAUCCAUAAAUCAGGUUGAAAGUUGCGAGGUUGAUGUUUGAAAAUUCUAUCUUUGUACUUUUAAAAACUAAUUUUAAAAAGGAUGGAACUUUAAUAUGCCUAAUAACAUAAAUUAAUUUGUCAAACACUUAUAAAAUUUUCUAAUAUUUUAAGUAUGAUAAACAAUUUAUUUUUCCAUCUUAUGUAAAAAAAAUAUUUGCUAAUGUAUUAAAAAUAAAUGUAAUUGGGAAAAAGCUUGUACGUCGUGUCAUUCAUCCACGCUGAGGAGUCAGUGGCAGUGUGAAGAAGUUAAUAGGUAGUCUGAAAGACCAGUUCUGAGUCUUUUGACGUUAGCUGCUUGUUCUACAGAAGACCACUAUUUUGUUUGUUUGUUUGUUUUUUUUUUUUUUUUUUUUUUUUUUUUAAUGUUUUAAUUUUGUAAACACCAAGUCUAAUCAUGUUUCUCGUUUGUCGCAUCAUGUCCACCUCAUGUCCGAGUGGAUUGAAAAAGCAAAAGGCUAGAAGAAAAGUAUUCGAUUCUUAGUAAAGUCAAUACGCACUCCGUGACGUCUCCUCCAGAACUUCCUAGUAAAGUCUCCAUUCUUCACUCUCAAAAUCUCCAUACCCAACAGCUCCAUCUACUCCUUUUACGCGUUCCCACAACAGCUAUAUAUAUGCACACACAAAGUGUUCAUCCUCACAUCUUCACAUCUUACUACAGAUUAAGUGUUAUUCACAUUAAUUUUCAUUAACAUUCUUGUGUUGCGACAGCCAUGAUUAACUGCAAUGUGUAUGAACGCAUUUUCAAGCGCUUCGAUGAAGAUGGUGAUGGGAAACUCUCUCCUUCGGAGCUCCGACGCUGCUUGGGGACGAUAGGGGAGGAGCUGCUGAUGGAGGAGGCGCAAGAGUUGGUGGAGUCGAUGGACUCGGACGGAGAUGGGUUGCUGGGAUUGGAGGAAUUUGUGGGGUGGAUGGAGAGAGAGGGUGAAGAGAGAAAGAUGGAGGAUUUGAGAGAGGCCUUUAGGAUGUAUGAGAUGGAAGGGAGUGGGUGUAUAACUGCAAAGAGCUUGAAGAGGAUGCUGAGUAGAUUGGGGGAGUCAAGAAGUGUGGAAGAGUGCAGUGUUAUGAUCGGACAGUUUGAUGUAAAUGGGGAUGGGGUUCUGAGCUUUGAUGAGUUCAAGCUCAUGAUGCUUUAAUCUUGUUUAACAUCUUUCAUCUGAAUGUUGUAUUUUUUUUUUAGAUUUAAGAAGAGUGGUUUGUAUUCAAAAAUUAAGAUACUCCUCAUUGCUUUCCUCGUGCACAUGGUGAAGAAAAUACUCCCUAUUCUAUAUUUGAUUUUGCAAAAAAAUUCCUUUUACGGCAAAGAGCAAGUGUGAUAAAAUUUAAGUUGAUUUUUAAAUUAAAUUGUUAAUUCAAAUCAUUUUCUCUCUCUGUUUGUAAAAUAUUCAUAUUAAAAAUAUUAUAAAAAUACAUAAUAUUAUUACAUAAAAUAAUAAUGAAAUAUAUAUCAUGGAAAAAAUGAAGUAUUAAAUUAUUUUAUAUUUUUAAAAAGUUAUUUAGUCUAAGUUAUUGUUUUGCAUUAUUUUAACUUUAAAUUAUAUAGAAUUAAUUUACCAAUAUGCCUAGACCCCAUUUGAAAUAGAGUUUAACUUUUGCCCUAAUAAUAAAUAAGUAGAAGUAUAAGUAUUAUUGGUGUAAUUGAAUUUUAUAUUUUGGAAUGAUAUCUAUCCCCGCAAAUUUUGGCAGUCUUAUAAAAAAAGUAAAACUGUUGAAAAAAUAUUAGAAUAAAAUUUUUGCAUUAAAAUAAUUAUCGGGGUGCACAAUCCAUAGGACGAUAAUGAAUUGGAGUUGAAGAUCAAUUAAGGACCUUAUUUUUUUUUUUUAAGUGGGAAGUUGUUUUUCAUAAUUUUAUCAUUGAAGUUAUCAGUAUUUGUAAGUGAAAUUAGAGAAUUAAAUUUGGAAUACUGAAGAUUUGAUUAUUUAAUUCAAGAAGUUUGGUUUCUUAAAGUUAACAACUUGUCUAAUUUAUUUAGGAAAUUAGUUAAUAAGAGAAUAUUUAUUUUCAAUUUUCUUUUGAUUUUGUCUUUUUUUAUUGAGGAAAUUUGUUAAUAAAAAAUAUAUAUUUUUAAUUCUCUCCUAAACUUUAAUGAUUUGAUUUAAUUUUAUUUUGUAAUACUUUUAAAUUUCAUGAGGUGUCACAUUUGAAUUAAGGAGUUACAAUUUUGAAGAAUAGUUUAGUGGUAAUUUCAUGCACCAAAUUUUUUAUAUCUAUAUUAUCAUCAAUGUUUUUAGAAUUGGAUCAGUCAUUAAACCGGAAAAGUUAUUGAUUCACAGUUUACUGGUUGGACCAACGAUCUAACCGCGGUCGAACCGGUACCGUCAUAAAUUUAUAUUUUAUUAUUUUAUAUAUUAUUAAAAUUUUAAAAAUUACAAAAAAAUAAUAUAUUUUAUCUAAAUUUUUACAAUAUCUAUCAAAAUUCUGAUCAACAAAUAAAAAUAACACAUUAAAUAAUAAAUAUAAAAGUAAUAAAACAAAAAAAUAAAUUUAAAAAAUAAAAAUCAAACAUUGGAGCAGCUACUGCACAGGCCGAGGAGGGGGGUGUGUGAUCUACAACGGGUGUCGCCAGGGUGGGGGAGAUUUAUAGCCGCUGGAGUGGGGGCUUACAAUAGGGGAAGGGGGAUUGGGGGGUUAUAGCAUGCCGAAGGAGGUUUAUAGCGGCAAGGGGUGGCUUACCGGCUUGCAACGGCACGAUGGGGAAAAGGUGACUCAAGCAACGGUCUUACGACCGAUGGAGGGAGAUUUUGCAUGGUGAAAUGACCGACAGUGGGAGCUUGUCGCGGUGGGUGAGGGGCGGGCGACAACUGCUAUGGUUUGGAGAGAGAGGGUUUGGAAGGAGGUUUUAUAUCUUCCAAAACAACGUUGUUUUGAUGCUAAAAAAAAAAAUUUAAUCGAACUGUCUAGUUUGAAGGGAAAUGGCCCGUUCGUUCGGUUCAUCAAUCGAAUCACCAAUUCAGUCGGUCCGAUCCUGGUUCAACCUAUUUCCGGUCUAAUUGAUCGGAUCGGACCAGAAUCAUGACCAACCGACGAUUGGACCUGCCUGUUUAGUCCGGUUUUUAAAACCAUGAUUAUCAUAAAAUAAGAAAUAUUUUUAUUAAGGUAAUAUUUAAUUCUCGAAAAAUUUGAGGGAAAUAAAAUAGAUAGAAAAAUUAGAAGAAAAAAAUAGAUAAUAAAUUUAAAAUCAAUAAAUUAUUUUUAUAUAUUACUUUAAACUUAUUUUACUUAUUUAACUAUUUUAUAUAAGGAUUAAAUAAUUUUAAAAUAAUAAAUUUUUAAUUAAAUUUAAUUAUAUUUGAUUUUUUUUUAUAGUAGAAUCAAAUAUAAGAAAAUUAUUUUUUGAUAUUUUUUAUUUUUGUAGUAUGAACGCACACUUGGAUAAGAUUGAAAGUUGUGGGCCACAUUUAAAAAUUCUUUUCAAACAAUACUAAUUUUGAUGGAAAACUCUUUUAAGAGGAUUUUAACAUGUUUAAUAAUUUAAAUUAAGUAAUUAAAUCAUAUUAAAUUAUUAAAUAAUUAAUUUAUCAAAUAUUUCUAAAUCUUUUAAUCAAAAUGAAAAAAAUAUUUGUUAUAUAUAUAUAUAUAUAUAUAUAUAUAUGUUCAUCCACGGUGACGAGUUAUUGGAAUAGUGUAGAAGUAGAUAGGUUGUUUGAACUUUGAAGUAGUUCAGAAGUUUGCUUGUCGGAAGACCACUAUUUUAAAAAAAAAAAACAAAUUAUUAUUAUUAUUAUUAUUUUAUUUUUAAUUUUGUAACAUGAAGUCUAUCGUGUUACUCGUCUGUCGCAUCAUUUCCACAUCAUGUCCAAGUGGAUUGAAAAAGCAAACAAGCCAGAAGAAAAGUAUUCAUUUACGAGGAGGGUUUGACCCUCGUACAGUGGAAUUCCAGCACAAAGCCUAGCAAUUUCUCACUUUCUGCCUCCGAAACCUGCCAAUACGCACUCCGUGACGUCUCCAACACUCGCUUCGCUUCAUUCUCCGGAACUUCCUAGUAAAGUAUCAAUUCUUCACUCCCAAAAUCUCUAUACCCAACAGCUCCAUCUACUCCUUUUACGCGUCCUCACAACAGCUAUAUAUAUGCACACACAAAGUGUUCAUCCUCACAUCUUCACAUCUUACCACAUAUUAAGUGUUAUUCACAUCAAUUUUCAUUAAUAUCCUUGUGUUGCGACAGCCAUGAUCAACUGCAAUGUGUAUGAACACAUUUUCAAGCGCUUCGAUGAAGAUGGUGAUGGGAAACUCUCUCCUUCGGAGCUCCGACGCUGCUUGGGGACGAUAGGGGAGGAACUGAUGAUGGAGGAGGCGCAGGAGGUGGUGGAGUCGAUGGACUCGGACGGAGAUGGGUUGCUGGGAUUGGAGGAAUUUGUGGGGUGGAUGGAGAGAGAGGGUGAAGAGAGAAAGAUGGAGGAUUUGAGAGAGGCCUUUAGGAUGUAUGAGAUGGAAGGGAGUGGGUAUAUUACUCCAAAGAGCUUGAAGAGGAUGCUGAGUAGAUUGGGAGAGUCAAGAAGUGUGGAAGAGUGCAGUGUUAUGAUCGCACAGUUUGAUGUAAAUGGGGAUGGGGUUCUGAGCUUUGAUGAGUUCAAGCUCAUGUUGCUUUAAUCUUGUUUGAUACCUUCCAUGUGAAAUUUGUAUCCUUUUUAGGUUUAUAAAGAGUGAUUUGUACUAAAGAUUCUUUCUACAUGUAAGAGGAAUAUGAUUUUUUUCUUCUUUUCGGCCUAUGAUAUAAAAAUUUUAGUAAAUUAAAUUACCACAAAUUUAGUCUUCAAAAAUUGAUAAAUAAAUGGAUAAGCAAAAACAAAAUAGAUAUUCUCCUAUGGACAAGUUUCAUAAAAAAUAAUAAUAAUAAUAAUAAUCACCAACUAUAAAAGGAUAAUAAUAAGAAUAAUAAUAAAUAUAUUAUUAUUAUUAUCUUUUUGGUAAAACCUUUCAAAGAGGAGAAGUUGCUAAAAUUAAGAAAUUAAAUCAUUUGAAUUAAAAAAUUAAAAUAGGAGAAUUCAAAAUUCAAAUUCCCUAUCUUCAUGUAUAAAUAGUGGUGACUUAUUUCAAGAAAAAGAGGGAAAAAUUCAAAAAUAAAGAAAAAUUAAAAAGAAAAUUUUAGGGAGAAAAUCUAAAAGCAACUUUGUACAAGAAAAGAGGAUUUACAUAAAAAAAAAGAGUUUUGUCAAAUCUUCCUACAAGUUUGAUAAAUGACAAAAGAAUUGCUACAUAGGUUUUUCCUCAUUCAACAAAUUCAUUCGAGAAUAAGUCAUUUGUGACCUUCGAUUGAUCUUCAAAAUUAAGAAAACGUCAUCGUCAUUCUUCAAGUUAUGGUUAAAGCGAAAAAAUCGAAGGAAAAUAUUAUUUUGUAAAGAAUAUUAUAUUUGAGAUUGUACCCACAAUAUUUUUAAUUUCAACAAAUAUUUUGUUUGUAUUAUUUUUCCAUUUGUUUUACUAAUUUUGCAUGACAUUUUAUACCUACAAUAACAUUUAUAUAUAUAUAUAUAUAUAUAUGUUCUGUACAUGAUUGUUUGGGACAAACCUUGAAGGAUGUUUGGACCUGCAAUAAUUUUGUUAUAUACUACGAUGAUGACAAGUUUUAUUGAUUAAGGGACUAGGAUUCUAAGAAAGAACUCAACUAACUCUGAAUGGAAGUUGAUGCUUUAACGUCUUAAUAACUUAAAUUAAGUGAUUAAAUCAUAUAUUAAAUUAAUUUAUUAAACAAUUCUAUAUUUGUCUAAUAUGCCAACCAAGGGAAUUAAAGCAUCUUUCUCAUUGAUGCUAAGGAGUUAAUGAAAGCGUGUAGAAGUAGUUAUGGAGUUAGCAUGUUAUUUUGUUCAUUAGUUUUCAACUGAGACCUAUGACUCAAUGAAUCGCUUCAUCUAUAAAGAAAAGAAAAGACAAGGCGGCUGAGUUGAGCGCCUACAAUUUCUCUUCCUGUGGGUGUUUUCUGAAUGUAUUAUUGAAUACAUUUGAUCUCAUUGCACACGUAGCAGUGACUUAACGACCUCAUGUCCACGUGGAUUGAGAAAGUAAAAGUCAAACGCUGUACAUUUACGGGGGUUUUGACCGUUACAGACUGAAAUUCCACCAAACCUUUCAAACACGCACUCCCUGACUUUCCCAACACUCGCGUUUCCUAGUCCAAGUCUUCAUUCUUCACUCUAAAAAAUGACCAUAUCCAACAGCUCUAGUCAUUUUACGCGUCCCCACAAAAGCUAUGUACGUAUUAUAUGCUCACUCACAAAGAGUGGAUCUUCACAUCUUCACUUCCUAUUGCAAAGAGUUAUCCACAUUAAUUUGCACUAACGUUCUUGUGUUGCGCAAGCCAUGGUUAACUGCAGUGUCUUUGGAUGCAUUUUCAAGAAGAUGGUGAUGGAAAACUCUCUCAUUUGGAGGUAUGGCGCUGCGUGGGGACGAUAGGGGGAGGAGCUGCUGCUAAUGUAGGAGGCGUGAUGAAAAACGUUCUUGUGUUUCUUUGGAAUAUUGCAAUGGUUUUUUGGGGGGGUUUUAGGCUGAUAAUGCUCUUUUUAGAGGCUUGAAAAUUUCUGCUGCUUAGUUGUUAAUUUGAAGACACAUCUGUUGUUUAGUGUUCAUGUGCAAAUCUGUCUUACCUUUAUUUUGUUUAGUAUAAAGUUAAAAAUCUUUGAGACGGAUAGUUUCUGUUGAGGAGAAAGAAGAGCGGUUGGAGUUGAUGAUGAGCUCAGAUGAUUUCUAAUUCCUCUUUCAAAAAAAUUUUCUGCUCAGUGACCAUUUUUUAUUUACUGAUCUUCUAUUUUUGUUUUAAUGGAUUUAAAAAACGCCAGAGAUCUCCUCAAGGCUGUUGAUCAGUAUCUCUUGGAGUGUUUUGAGCAUCAGACCUGGUAUUCAAAUAGGAGAAAUGGAGUCUAAACCGGAGGCUCUUGUGAUUCCUCUUCAGAUGUGGAAUUACGAGUUAUGAGUGUGGCAAAUGAGAAUACAUGACUUGCUUGGUGAAGAAGAUAAUGAUAUAGUUGCCGUAAGUAGUCCCAUGCCAUUUUUGCUGCAAGGAUGACCCAUAAACCAAGUGCCGGCCAUCCUAAUUCUGGAACUAAAAUGAAGAAAGUAAGAUUGGGGCAAUUGUGGCAGAGAGGAGUCGAAUGGGCCCGAGCUUUUUACCAACAAUAAUUGUUCCAACAUAAAUGGAAAUAACAAUAACAAAAAAAUAUAUAAUCCCUUUAUGUUCCUCAAAUAGGGAAAUGCUGACGCCUUGAUAUUUCACUGCAAGGAGGACACCUAAUAUUGAAAGGUAGCCGAAAAAAACUUAGAUCUCAAGGGGUUUACUUGAUCCUUGAUCUUACUCUAUGAAGGAAUUUAAUCCUUGCUCUUGCUCCUGUCAAGAAAAUAAAAUUACUUUUGAGUGUCUAAUCAACAAGUAAUUAAUGAAAUUCAAUAAUAAAAUAAAAAAAAUACACAAAAGCCUUCUCAAUAACGAGGGCAUACCGUUGUCGUCUGUCCAUGAAGUGUAGAUGCAGUUGCAGCUCUCAGCUCUUAAGAGCACCUUUCCAAUGGCUGGCAGUAGCUCUUAGCAUUUGUGGGGAUAUAUAGUUUACUAGGCUACUAUGAUGUGAGUCAACCUACGCAAUUUGAGAAGUAGGGCUGAUGUGACAAGCGCUGCAUAGCAACUUCGCUUUGCUUUGACCCAAAAUGCUGUAUUUAAAAAAAAAAAUGCAUAAACUAAACCGAAUAUGAAAAUAAUGCCCAAUCUAGUGCGUCUGGGCCACGUGGAACGCCACAUCAUAAAACCGUAGUUGGUAACUACGGUUUUGAAUUUUUUUAAAUUGGUCAAAACCGUAGUUGGUAACUACGGUUUUGAAUUCCUUUUCUGUCCCUUUCCCAUUAGGUUUCUCCAUUUCCCCGAUUGGCUUUCUUCUCUUUAGGGCUUUGUUCUUCCCUUUAGGGUUUCGUUCUUCCCUUUAGGGUUUCAUCCUUCCCAUUGCAUCCAUAGUUCAAAUUCAAAUUUUGGAAGUCGUUGUCAGGUAAGAUUUAUGAAUUUUUUAGUUAAUCGUAAAUUUUAAUGUUUUUUUUUUUUUGUAAAUCUGUUUGGUUUGUUGUUGUAGAUUUGUUUGGUUUCUGUUUGGUAAAGACAUGUUUGAUUUUAUUUUGAAUUUGAGCUUAGCAGAAAGAAAAUGGUUUUUUUGGUAAACAAAACGGAUAUGGAAUGGGGGACCAGUAUGGAUUUCUUUUUGUUAAAGAUGCCAAAAAUGGAGGGGACCACUGUAAAAAAACUCCGGUGAUUUUUGUUAUAGAAAUAGAAAAUAUCUUCAAAUAUUUGUUACCAAGAGUGAGGGGACCACUCAGAUGGUAUAUCUUCAAAUAUUUGAGCAAGAAUCUUAAACCCAUUCUCAAAAUUUACGCAAAUGUUUUUUCCUAGAACCUUGAGAUUUGUUUUUAUAGUUCUUUAGUUUGGUGAUACUUGAUUUUUUUUCCAUUCAGCUUCCUGUGAGAUUCUGAUUGAACAUAAUUUAAGGAUUUUUUAUUGUUAAAUCUAUUCUCUUCUUUGCAUCUACAGAAAUUCUCAUUCCUUUGAUUGUAAUUUUAUUGAACUAAUGAAAAGUUCAAAACUAGAACAUUCAAUCCUUCAUCAGUUGGUAUAUAUGAGAUUUUUAAUUAUUUUAUUUGUAUUUUCUCUCAUUCUCCCACUCAAUAAGAAAUUAUUAGAACUUGUCUAGUACUGUUUUUUAAAAUUGUUAUAAAAAACAAUUUUUGAGGAUAAUUUUUUAAACUAUCUGUCAAUUAUUUUCAAAAUUUUACUUGAAACCCUUAAUGUAAAAAAUAAUUUUUAAAUUUAUUAUCUGUGUUUCUGGAUUUUUAGCCAAUAUUCGGACUUACAUCAUAUAUAUUUGCAUGGGAAACAGAUGAAUUGAAUGAAGGGCAGGGCUCAUGAUCAACUUCCUUUUUAGUUAUUCUUUCAGCUUCUUCUUCUUCUCCUGCUGCUGUUUUGGUUUACCUCAAGAAUCUCUUUGCCCUUCUCUUCCAAAUUAAACCUUAAUCAAAAGCUUUAGUACAAGCAUAUUCUUCUUCUUCUUCUUCUUCUUCUUCUUCUUCUUCUUCUGAGGUUGCUCUCCUGUAUUUGUGGAUAGGUAAGCUUCAAAGCUUGGUUUUUCUCCCUUCUUAUGGGUUGAAUCUUACGUUUCUCACUGUCAAAAACAUUCCAUGGAAAUUUGAAUACAUACCACUGUAAAACUCAUGAAAAAACUAGACCCAUUGUUUUUUUUUUUUUUUUUUUUGUGAACAAGGUUGUUUAGAUUGAGCACUAUGUUAAUAGAUCUUACUGUGUGAUCCUUUUUUAUUGAUCUCCCUGAUCUUUGCCCUAUUCAUCUUGUGCUUAUGGAUCCUUUAGGGGGCCUAUUUUCUAAAAAAGUUUUUGUUUUUAGAACAAACAAUAGUUUUUCAAUGUUUGGUAAGUUGUAGACUGGAAAUAGCUUUUGAAAAUUUAUCCUAAACAUAGAGUGGUUUGUUUGAAUAAGUUUAAGGAUUUUCACAUAUUUUUUUUGUAGAGUGUUUUGAAAAUUAAUCUAAAAAUAAUGAGAAUAAGUUGGAAAAUUUUGUAUUAUUUCAUAAGUGUACAGUAUCUCGAGCAAAAAAAAAAAAAAAAACUUCUAUAUUUGGGUUCUCAAAAAGAAGUUUAUUCCUACCAAUUAAAGAUUGUCAAACAGAACCUAGCUAGCUAGUUUUUGAGAAAUACAAAAAUGGUGAAUGAGGUGCAAUGCAUAAAAGUUACAAGUAAAAUAGACAAAAACGCUGACCAUGGAUUGUUUGGUAUGGAAAGUGUCAAGGGACAUGUUUUUCUCUUUUGCUUUCAUUUUCCAUGCAGAAAAGUAAUUAAUGUGAAAAAGAGAAAAAGUACACUUGGAGUAGAAGGCCUCUAGUAUAAGUUUGUAACAGUUCAACUUUUGUUAAUUUCCUUCCACUUAUGAUUUGCCUAAUAGUUCUCUUCUUGAUAUGUAUGGAAGUUGCCAAGUUUGAAGAAGAAAAAAUGAGAGCCCUUCAUUUACAUAAUUUUUUUUUUUGCCUUGUAUUUAGAGAGGAAAGUGUGUACACGAAAACAAAGUAAUGGUUGCUAUUAUUAAAGUGGGUUCAAGGCCUUUAUCCUAGCCAUCAGAAUCUGAUCUUGACCUUUUUGUUGCCACUCUAGAUGGUUGUUACUUCAUAUGGUAGACAACAUAAAUAAUUUAAAUUUUGGGAAAACCAUAUUGGGAUUCAUACCCCCUUGUUCUUAUACAUGGCAAAAGAGUUCAUGACCAGUGGGACUAAUGUGAUUUUUGGUUUUACAAUUGUUAAUAAAUAUAUAUACACACAGACAAAUUUUUAUUUUUCUCAUUUUAAUAAAAAAAAUAAAGGAAUUUUGGAGACAAAUAUAUUUUUAAUACAUUUUUAUCAUACAUAAGAUAUUAAAAUAAACAUCUAAUAAAUAAUUUAAUUUUAAUUAUCUUAUUUCCAAAUUUGAUUUAAGUAUUAAAAAUAUAAAAAUGAUUAUUAUAAAUUUUUUAAUGAGUCUUUGUUCAUAUUUUUUUUUAUUAAUUAAACUUAAUAGAAAAAAAAAUUACAAAUAUUUUAAAAAUCAUACAUAUAUCAUCAUUUCUUUUGUAUCUUUUAGAUAUAUCAAUGUAAAAUGUGUUUUCAAGUUCUAUAUAUUAUUAAUUUAUUAUCAAAUAUUAGAAAUAAUAUAUAUAUAUAUAUAUAUAUAAUAUAAAAGUAAUAACUUGAAUAUGCGUAUUAUUUCUUGUUUUUUCUUUUUUUUUUCCCUCAAAAUUUCUUCCUUCGAUUUAUUUGUCAAAAUUUCCACUGAUAUUUCCCGAUAUAUCCUAGUAUAUUCGUAAAAUCCAACUGCCAAUAUAUCCAUGAAAACUGAUGUCUCAUCCUUGGUUCUACUAUCUUUUUGAGGUCAUGCUUCCCAUAUCCCAUGUUGUCCCCUGUUUUAGAUCUGCAAUUUGGUAAUUCAUAUGAAAUUGUUGAUUUAUCCUAGGUUAUUGAUUCAUCUUCACACACAAUUUCUCAUCUAGACAGCUCCUGAUCAAUGAAACUAGUCAAAAGAAGGAACCUAGCUUUCCAAAAACAGAAUAAACACAUAUCAAAUUUUUAUAAUUGUGUAAUUGAUAUUUUAUUAAUAUAUAUUUUUUUGGUCAGUUACUUUUAUUUGAUUUUGAUUUUGAUUUUUUUUUUUCGACUUUUAGCUUUAAUCAAAUAUCAAUUGAUUCAUGAAUAAUAACAUAAUUCUUUAAAUUAUAUAUUAUUUAAUAGUUCAUAACAUUCAAUUUUAUUUUAAUAUAUGAUAUUUUAUAAUAAAAAAAUUUUGGUGGAUUAUUUUUUAUUUAAUUUUAAGGUUAUUGUAAUUUUUUAACUCAACAUUUAUUGAUUUAUAGCCCACUACCUAAGUUUUAAAUUAAAAUUCUAUAAAACAUUUAUCUAUGAUUAUAUUUGUAUCAUAGAUAACUAUUUAAAUAAAAAAAUUAUUAUUAUGAAGUGAUUUAUAUUUUUCCUCCUAAUGUCUAAAAAUGUGUUUUAUUAUAUAAUUGUGUAUUCACAUGUUAAAAUAUUAUAUGCAAUUUCUCUUGCUAUUAUUUUCAUUGAUUAUUAAACCAUUUGAUAUUGUAUUUUUUGUAGGUAAAUCAUGUCUGAAUCUAUUAUUCCUGUGAUUUGCUUUUGUAAAGGAAAAAUGUUGAGGACAGAAACAGAUGUAAAGUAUAUUGGGGAUCUAGCUGUAAUUGUGCCUUUGUAUGUGCCUGUUGGUUCAACCUAUGAACAGUUGUUAUCUAUGAUAUACUCGAGAACUGGCAUUGACAAAAAACAAUUUCAAUUAGUCCUCAACUGUAGAUAUCCUUUGAAAAGGGAAAAUAGGUUUCAACCUUGUCCAAUAUGGGAUGAUAAUAGUUUAUCUCAAAUGUUGAAAUUGGUUAACACAUUUGGAAUGGACGAAAUUGAAUUGUAUAUUGAACAAGUGCCAGUACAACCACGGGAGAGGGGGCAAUUUUUGGGUAACUUCACACAAUUAUUACUCGGACAAAAUGAUAAUGUUGAGGAAUUUGAGUAUGGUUGUGGACCUAGUAGUGCCCCAGUUGCAAUGACUUAUGAGUGUAGAGCAGAUGAAAAUGAAGAAGAAUGUGAAUCCCAAGAAGGUGAUGAUCAAAGUGAGAGAGCAGAAGAUGUUCAACAUGAUGGCGAUGGGGUGUUCGAAUUUAUUGAUGAGGAAAACAAUAAUGUUAAUGUUGUUUCAUCUUUCUUAGCUCUUCACGAAGCAAUGGAAAGUGAACAAGGGAGAUAUGUCUCCGGUAGAGUAUUCCCCUGUUCAGUAUCACUCGGCACCAUCAUUGCAGUUUGAAAAUGUAGAAAACAUUGGUAACGCCGUUUCAAGUGACUGGACCCCAUGGGGGAACACUAAUAUUGGAAACUCAGGUGGAGAGUUCAUGGUUGGCCAAGUUUUUAAUUCAAAAGCAGAUUUACAACAUGCUGCGAAGUUGUACUCUUUAAGUCAACACCAAGAGUACGUUGUUGUUUCGUCAACUACAAAGUUGUUGGUUCUAAGAUGCAAGAAGGCUGAGCAAUCACAAUGUCCAUGGAAACUUCGUGCUAUGGUUGUAAAAGGUACAACUUCAUUUGCAAUCAAUAAAUACAAUGGUCCUCACAAAUGUGUAAAUCCUUGCUUGAAUCGGGAUCAUCAACAAUUAGAUUCCAACUUGAUUGCUGCUCAUAUCCAAGGAAUGAUUAAGGCACAAUUCACAUUGUCAGUGGCUGCUAUUCAAGCAAGUAUUGUGGAGAAAUUCGGAUACCAAAUAUCAUACAAGAAGGCAUCUAAAGCGAAGCUUAAAGCUCUUACAAACUUAUUUGGUGAUUUUUAUAAGUCAUAUGCAGAGCUGCCACAUUUUUUCAUUGCCUUAGAGCAGGCAAAUCCAGGAUGUGUUGUAGUUUCAAAAACAUUUCCUGGUAUUAUGGAGAAUACAGAAAUAUUUCAACGAGUUUUUUGGACAUUUCAGCCAUCUAUUGAAGGAUUCAAGCAUUGUCGGCCUGUACUCAGUAUUGAUGGUACACAUUUGUAUGGGAAGUAUAAAGGCACUUUAAUGAUUGCUAUGGGUUGUGAUGGAAAUAAUAAGUUAUUCCCAUUGGCUUUUGCCCUAACAGAGGGUGAGAAUGUUGAUAGUUGGGGAUGGUUUUUGGCAUGUAUUAGAACAAGAGUCACUAAUAGGAGGAAACUUUGUGUUAUAUCAGAUCGACAUCCAGGCAUUAUGGCUGCAAUGAGCAAUGUUCAUCUUGGUUGGUCUGAGCCAUACGCAUAUCAUAGGGUUUGUAUGCGUCAUCUUGCUAGCAAUUUUAUGACUCGAUUCAAGGAUAAAAUAUUGAAAAAUCUGAUGUGCAGAGCAGCCUUAGCAACCAAGAUUGAAAAAUUCAAUAAACAUAUGAACACAAUUGGGAGGAUUAAUGCAGCCGCACAACAAUGGUUGGAAGCAAUUCCUUUUGAGAAAUGGGCACUCUCUCAUGACGGAGGUCGAAGGUAUGGCAUCAUGACUACAAACAUGUCGGAGGUGUUCAAUAGUGUGCUUAAAGGGGCUCGUAGCUUACCCGUAACUGCUUUGGUUCAAUUGACAUUUUUUCGGCUAAAUAGUUACUUUGUUGUGAGAAGGGAACAAGGUGCUAAUCGACUUGCUUCAAGUGAGGAAUACACUCCAUAUGUUGAUGCUAAGAUGAAGGCAAAUGUGGUUAAGGCGGGAUCUCAUGAGAUUGUUUUAUAUGAUCACAUCCAAGGACAAUUCCAUGUGAAGAGUAAUAGGGGUACUAAGAGUAGUUCAACUGGUGGUCGAACAUAUCGCGUCAACUUACAGGAGUAUGCAUGCACGUGUGGUAAAACACUCAUAUAUGGAUUCCCAUGUAGUCAUAUUCUAGCAGCAUGUCAUUUUCGUUCAGUUGAUUUUAGACCACUUGUUCAACACUACUACAGUACACAAUCGUACUAUAAUACUUGGGCACCCUUGUUCCAUCCCAUUUUCAAUGUAUAUGAGUGGCCUCCUUAUGAUGGCCCGAUUAUCAUGCCUUCUGAGUCGAUGAAACGUGCAUCGAGUGGACGACCUAAAUCAAGUCGUUUGCAUAAUGAAAUGGAUGUCAGAGAGGGCAAGACUUCUAUUACGUGUGGGUUAUGCAAACAAAGUGGCCACAAUCGUCGUUCUUGUCAAAACAGUAAUAGAGUUGAUUAGACCUUGUGAUGUGUGCAUGUAAUUUUCUUGGAUAUUGUGAUGUAAGCUACUAUGAUACUACCUUUAUUCAAUUAUGGGCUUUGGUUUGAUUAUAAAUAUUGAUGUUAUUUGUCUAAUCAGGUUAUUUGUAUUUGGAAUAAUGUCCAUAUUAUAGGGGAAACUCUGUCAAAAUUUUUAAAUUUUCUAUUAAAAAUGUUAACAAAAUGCUUCAUUGUAUUUGUAUUUCUAAUUUUAUUUUAAACUAGUAUGACUUGUUUAUUGGUCAUAAAUGAAUUGAUCUACUUAAAUUUAUCAAAUUGAUAUAUACUUAAUAUAUGGAAAACUCCAUAAAUUUUUAAAACUUUUCCAUUAAAAAUAUUUUUAUUUAAAAACAAUAAGUAUUGUUUAUUUAUCUUCACAAUUUUGUUACAGAUAUGGAGUAUAGAGGACAUAGUUCUGAUCCAGAUCCAUUAGAUACGUCUAUUUUGGUUCUACAGGAUAGACAUAGGUCUCAUUUAGUUGACUCUGGUCAGGUAUGUAUAUGAAAACACAUAAUAUCUCUUUAAAGAAUGAAAAAAAUUGCAGUUUAUUAUCUAAAUGAUUUAUUUGUAUUUUUACAGCUUGCUUCAGUCUUGACUUGUCGACAACAUAUAUCUAGGUUUAUGCGGGAGUGGGAGAUGGAUCCUCGUCUUCAACCUUAUAUUAUUCGAUCUGGAUUUUAUGGUGUAUAUCGUAUUGGACACAUUACACUAGAUUGGGGAUUGAUCACUAGUCUAGUUGAGAGAUGGCGUCCUGAGACACACACAUUUCACUUACCUGUUGGGGAGAUGACCAUUACUUUACAGGAUGUUGCUGUCAUAUUAGGUCUUCGUAUUCAUGGGCUUCCCAUCACUGGCACAUGUGAUAUAGAUUGGUCAUUGCUAUGUUAUGAACUUUUAGGGGUGACUCCCCCUACAUCUGAGAUUAGAGGAUCAGCGAUAUCGACACGAUGGCUAUGUCACCAGUUCUCUCAUCCACCAGUUGAUUUAGAUGAUGCCACAUUAGAGCAGUAUGCACGGGCUUUCAUAUUAGGACUCAUAGGUUCAGCGCUAUUUACAGACAAGAAGGGUACUCACAUACAUAUGUGUUAUCUCCCACUUCUUAGAGACUUGACUCAGACAUCUAUGUAUAGUUGGGGUAGUGCAGUAUUAGCAUACCUAUAUAGGGAGUUGUGUCGAGCGAGUUUGGAUGGUGCCACCGAUAUUGCUGGAUGUGUGACAUUAUUACAGGUAUAAUUAAUUAUUCACAUUAGAUUGAAAUUUCUAGUUGUUUGAAGUUUAUAAUUUAAGUAAAAUUUUAAUGUUACAUUUUUUUUGCAGUUAUGGUCUUGGGAGAGACUCCACCUGGGUCGACCCGAUUUUGGUCGACCACCAGCCCCUCCAGCAGCCCAACAUUUAGAGCAUGAUGCAGUCGAUGAUUUACCAGCUGAGCAUUUAGAGCAGGGAUUACAGGAUGAGGCAUUGUUACAUGAGGGUUUACCGGCUGAUCCGUUAGGAUGUAGGUGGAGAGUACCUUUAUCAUGGGCUCAAAACCCAUCACGUGUGUUGACAUUUUAUCGAGACCAAUUAGAUGCACAGACCCAUGACCAGGUACAUAUAAGAUCUAAUGUGCUAUUGUUAACCAUAUAAACGUUAACUUUAUUAAUUUCAAAUGUUGAUUUUAACAGGUUUUAUGGGAGCCUUACAUGGGAGACUUAGUUGCCCAUCUUCCGGCGAUAUCUCUAGCAGACCAGGAGAUUUGGAGGACGAUGUCACCUCUUAUCUGCUUUGACAUUGUCGAGUGGCAUCGACCGGAGCGAGUGUUGCGACAGUUUGGCCUCCAACAAGGGAUACCUCCAUCUUGUUCCAUAGAGCAACACCUCCAUUCCGUGGAUAGGCGAGGACGACAUAAGUAUGAUUGGGAGGCAUUUCAUGCACAGUAUAUUACCUUAUGGGCUAGUCGUGCGGAGCGUAUUGUGACGGCACCACCUAUGGUGGGUGCUAUGCAGUUUCAUGAUCCAUAUAUGGAGUGGUACCGACGUAUUACAUGACGUUUGAUCACACCCCCUCUCCAUAGAGAUCAGAUGAGGUAUCAUAGUACAGCAGCAGCUACUCAGUUGUUGGUAAGAUUUUUUUAAAUUUAUAAAUGGUUUAUUAAAUUUUAAUUAAUUAAAAAUCAUCUUCGUCUGUUUAACUUUUUUUUUUUUUUAAUAGAUCACUGGUAUGGUUGAGAUUGCUAGUCGAUCUGCUGGGCCUACUUCAGGUGCGUUAGGCGACAUUCAUCGGAUUGCUAUUGAUAUUUUGCAUGUUAUUGGAGAGGACCAUCGCAUACAUUUUGCCCGUCAGUCGCCUACAUCAUCAUACCCAUCUAUGAGACCACCUAUGUCAGCCACUACAGUUAGGAUGCAGCCUAUUCGAGGCCGAGGGAGAGAUAGUAGGAGAGAUGGUGGGCGAGUUGGUCGACAGCCUCGACGAUCUAUGCAUCCACCCGAGACCAUGUUAGCACCAUCCACAUCAUCUACCCCAUUUGCACCUGAGGUUUCCACACUUCCCCCUUCACCCCUACCAUCACCUUCACCUAGACCUUCUCCCUUAGAGCAUGUCGUAUCAGAUACCACUCUACCAUCACCUGUAUUUCCUCCCACAGACGCCACUAUACCUGAUGUCACUACACCAGAGACUACCCCACUAUCUACUAAUCUACCAUCACCUCUACCUUGUCUCGAGGAGACCACUACACCACAUGUCACCUCACCAUCAUCACUUAUAUUUCCUCUCCUCGAGCCCACUAUAUCAGAUGUUAUUGCACCAGCUACCACUACAGUAGAUGUCAUUCUUCCAUCUCCUAUAUCACCUCUCCUAGAUGCUACCAUAUCAGAUAUCACUGUACCUGAGGUCGCCCCACCAUCUACCACUUUACCAUCACCUACACCUCUUCCCAUAGAGACUACCAUGCAUCAUACCCUUACACAUGUUACACAGUUUGAUGUAUGUCCACCUAGGAGACGUCGUGGUCCACGUAGACGUCGAGUCUUGCCUCCAUCAGCUCCAUCUCAACCUAUACAUACCGAGACAUGGCAGAUUGCACAGAUAAAUUCCACAGAGAUGUCUCUUUAUCAUAGGCGUCCGCAGAGAAAGAGGAAGACCCCAUCAUGUGGCACUCAUUGAGGACUGGUUUUUAGUUUUUGUGUUUAUUUUCAUUUGCAUUAUGUUGUUAACUUAUUUAUUUAUUUAUUAUUAUGAACAAAUUAUUAUAUAUUUAAAUGAAAAUAUGAUCAAUUUUAAACUUAAAUUGAACUUAUAUAUAUAUAGCAAUUCGACAAUUUAAAAAUGUGUAACUAAUUAGUUACAACAACACUAUAUCAAUAUAGAAAAAAUAAUGCAUUAAAACUAAUUUACAAUCUUAACCUCCAAUCAAAAUAAUUCUUAAAAAAUUGAACAUUCGCAUGAUUUAAAAUUUGAACUUAAAAAAAUUGGUUUUAUGUUUAAAUUUAAAGCUAUGAUCACCAACUACUAUUUUGACUAUUUAAAAAAAAAAAUUAAUUUGAUGAUGUAAAUACUAUCAAAAAUCAUAAUUACCAAUUACAGUUUUAUGAUGUAAAUACCCUCAUGAAUAAGACACACAUCACAUUGAAAAUUAUUUUGAGAAUAAAAUUAAUUUAUGAAUUUUUUGUUUUAAAGAAAUCAUUUUUGUCCAAAACUCCCGUUAAAACCCAAUAAGGAACAUUUUUCUUAUUCUCAAUGAAUUUACAAAAAUGUUCUAAAAGCAUUUUCAUUUAUUUACCAAAACAGUUAAACUAAAUGGUGAAUUGAUUGGAAAAACAUAGGUAUUUUCUUUCUACAAUUCUAUAUUUUAAGAAGUGGAAAAACAAAUUCUAUUAGGUUGACAUUUUAGGUUUAAAAUUUUAAGCCUUUCCAUUCCAUUCCAUUUUGAUCCCAUUUUGAAAGGAAAAAAUUGGAGAAAAUAAAAUUAUUUUUGUUGUAUUUAAGUAAUUUUCCAAUUAUUUACCCACUUGAAGUCAUAUUAUGUUUUGUACAAAUGCAUAAUUGGCUUUAAUUUUUGUACAAAGUUACAAAAUAAUAUAAUAUUCUUCAUUAUGAGGGCAUAAAAUAUUAUAUUUUUAACUAAUUAUAUUUAUAUUGAGUAUAAUGUCAAAUAUUUUAAUAAAACUAAACCAAAAUAUUUUUAUAUCAAAUUAAAGACAUCAAUUAUUUAAUUUCAUAUAUUAUUAUUCUUUAAAUAAUGAGAUCAAUUAAAGUUAAAUAUUUUUAUUAAACCACUCACAUAUUUUUAGUCAAUCUAAAAUCAAAAUAAUAUAAUAUUUUUAUUUAAAUAAAUUAAAGUUAAAUAAUUUUAUUAAAUCACUCACAUAUUUUUAGUCUAUCUAAAAUCAAAAUAAUAUAAUAUUUUUAUUUAAAUAUUUUUAUAUCAAAUUAAAGACAUCAAUUAUUUAAUUUCAUAUAUUAUUAUUCUUUAAAUAAUGAGAUCAAUUAAAGUUAAAUAUUUUUGUUAAACCACUCACAUAUUUUUAGUCAAUCUAAAAUCAAAAUAAUAUAAUAUUUUUAUUUAAAUAUUUUUAUAUCAAAUUAAAGACAUCAAUUAUUUAAUUUCAUAUAUUAUUAUUCUUUAAAUAAUGAGAUCAAUUAAAGUUAAAUAUUUUUAUUAAACCACUCACAUAUUUUUAGUCAAUCUAAAAUCAAAAUAAUAUAAUAUUUUUAUUUAAAUAAAUUAAAGUUAAAUAAUUUUAUUAAAUCACUCACAUAUUUUUAGUCUAUCUAAAAUCAAAAUAAUAUAAUAUUUUUAUUUAAAUAUUUUUAUAUCAAAUUAAAGACAUCAAUUAUUUAAUUUCAUAUAUUAUUAUUCUUUAAAUAAUGAGAUUAAAGUUAAAUAUUUUUAUUAAACCACUCACAUAUUUUUAGUCAAUCUAAAAUCAAAAUAAUACAAUAUUUUUAUUUAAAUAAAUUAAAGUUAAAUAUUUUUAUUAAAUCACUCACAUAUUUUUAGUCAAUCUAAAAUCAAAAUAAUAUAAUAUUUUUAUUUAAAUAAAUUAAAGUUAAAUAAUUUUAUUAAAUCACUCACAUAUUUUUAGUCUAUCUAAAAUCAAAAUAAUAUAAUAUUUUUAUUUAAAUAUUUUUAUAUCAAAUUAAAGACAUCAAUUAUUUAAUUUCAUAUAUUAUUAUUCUUUAAAUAAUGAGAUCAAUUAAAGUUAAAUAUUUUUGUUAAACCACUCACAUAUUUUUAGUCAAUCUAAAAUCAAAAUAAUAUAAUAUUUUUAUUUAAAUAUUUUUAUAUCAAAUUAAAGGCAUCAAUUAUUUAAUUUCAUAUAUUAUUAUUCUUUAAAUAAUGAGAUCAAUUAAAGUUAAAUAUUUUUGUUAAACCACUCACAUAUUUUUAGUCAAUCUAAAAUCAAAAUAAUAUAAUAUUUUUAUUUAAAUAAAUUAAAGUUAAAUAUUUUUAUUAAAUCACUCACAUAUUUUUAGUCUAUCUAAAAUCAAAAUAAUAUAAUAUUUUUAUUUAAAUAUUUUUAUAUCAAAUUAAAGACAUCAAUUAUUUAAUUUCAUAUAUUAUUAUUCUUUAAAUAAUGAGAUCAAUUAAAGUUAAAUAUUUUUGUUAAACCACUCACAUAUUUUUAGUCAAUCUAAAAUCAAAAUAAUAUAAUAUUUUUAUUUAAAUAUUUUUAUAUCAAAUUAAAGACAUCAAUUAUUUAAUUUCAUAUAUUAUUAUUCUUUAAAUGAUGAGAUCAAUUAAAGUUAAAUAUUUUUGUUAAACCACUCACAUAUUUUUAGUCAAUCUAAAAUCAAAAUAAUAUAAUAUUUUUAUUUAAAUAAAUUAAAGUUAAAUAUUUUUAUUAAAUCACUUACAUAUUUUUAGUCUAUCUAAAAUCAAAAUAAUAUAAUAUUUUUAUUUAAAUAUUUUUAUAUCAAAUUAAAGACAUCAAUUAUUUAAUUUCAUAUAUUAUUAUUCUUUAAAUAAUGAGAUCAAUUAAAGUUAAAUAUUUUUAUUAAACCACUCACAUAUUUUUAGUCAAUCUAAAAUCAAAAUAAUAUAAUAUUUUUAUUUAAAUAAAUUAAAGUUUAAUAUUUUUAUUAAAUCACGCACAUAUUUUUCGUCUAUCUAAAAUAAAAAUAAUAUAAUAUUUUUAUUUAAAUAAAUUAAAGUUAAAUAUUUUAAAUCAAGUAAUAUAAUUAUUUAUAUAUAUAAAUUUAAAGUUGAAGCCGUAGUUGGUGACUACGGCUUUGACUUUUUUUAUAACAGUCAAAGCCGUAGUCACCAACCACGGUUUUAACUUUAAAAAAGUUAAAACCGUGGUUGGUGACUACGGUUUUGAAUGUUUUAAAAAAUUAAAACCGUAGUUACCAACUACGGUUUUAUGAUGUGGCAUCCUAUGUGGCACAAACGCACUAGAUUGGGCAUUAUUUUCACAUUAGGUUUACUUUAUGGAUUUUUUUUUUAAAGUGUAGCAUUUUGGGUCAAAGCUCGAGAAGUUGGAUACGGUGGUGGCGUUUUGAAACCUUCGCAAUUUGAAAUAAGUUCUUAUUUCUUAAAAUAUAAUAUUUUUCAAAAAGAAUUAUAAUAUAAAUUUAUAAAUUAUUCUCUUAUUGUGGCUAUACUACUUUACCAUAAUAAUAAUAAUAAAAGAAUCAGACAUUAAAAUAAGUUCUUUUUGGCAUAACUAAUUUCUAAUGUGUUAAUUAUGAUAAAGAAAUUAUUUUUUCAUCUUAUGUAAAAAAAUAUUUGAUAAUAUAUUAAAAAUAAAUGUAAUUGGGAAAAAGUUUAGAAGUUGUGUCAUUCAUCCAUGCUGAGGAGUAAGUGGCAGUGUGUAGAAGUAGAUAGGUUGUUUGAACUUUGAAACUUGUUUUGACGUUAGCUUGUUGUUCUACAGAAGACCACUAUUUUUUAUUUUAUUUUAUUUUUUAUGUUUUAAUUUUGUAAUUUCUCGUUUGUCGCAUCAUUCCCACGUCAUGUCCAAGUGGUUUGAAAAAGCAAAGAAGCGGUUUUGACCGUUGUACAGUCAAUAAUCUAGAACAUACGCAUUCCGUGACGUCUCCAGCACUCGCUUCGCUUCAUUCUCCAGAACUUCCUAGUAAAGUCUCGAUUCUUCACUCUCAAAAUCUCUAUACCCGACAGCUCCAUCUACUCCUUUUACGCGUCCCCACAACAGCUAUAUAUAUGCACACACAAAGUGUUCAUCCUCACAUCUUCAAAUCUUACUACAAAUUAAGUGUUAUUUACAUUAAUUUUCAUUAACAUCCUUGUGUUGCCACAUCCAUGAUUAACUGCGAUGUGUAUGAACGCAUUUUCAAGCGCUUCGAUGAAGAUGGUGAUGGGAAACUCUCUCCUUCGGAGCUCCGACGCUGCUUGGGGAAGAUAGGGGAGGAGCUGCUGAUGGAGGAGGCGCAGGAGGUGGUGGAGUCGAUGGACUCGGACGGAGAUGGGUUGCUGGGAUUGGAAGAAUUUGUGGGGUGGAUGGAGAGAGAGGGUGAAGAGAGAAAGAUGGAGGAUUUGAGAGAGGCCUUUAGGAUGUAUGAGAUGGAAGGGAGUGG
rnacentral:lncRNA from 1 species